rnacentral:lncRNA from 1 species
UAGUCUAAGUGGUAUAUCCCAGGAAAUAAACUCAACUGGCUUAUUAGAGUUCUCUGGCCAGCUCUGUGCUGGGACUCACCUUCAAUGUCGGGAACCAGGAGGCUCUGAAAAUGUGCAUCAGGGCAUGCAGUAAGUGAAACCUUGAAUUUUCUUCCAUGUUGAUGUGGCUUUAGGGAAAAGUGUGCGAAGGUGAAGAAGUUCCUGAAAGUGAAGAAACAGUGUGAAUGCACUCAGAAGAGGCUGYGUUACAAAUGCUGACAAAGAACAGUUGCGGAACUGAAAGUCACCGAUAUUCCUUUCCAGUGAACUCUCUUUUGAACAUGUUGAAUGAGAUAAGUUUUGUACCCACGUUCUGUUCUUUAACAGUAAUGAAAAUGUAUUUCUGGUUGUGAAGAUUUAAGUGCUGUAUGGAUGCACUAAUGAUUAAUUCAACUGAUCAAAAAAUAAGCAUUAAUGUCAAUUUUGAAAUGCUGUGGCUUUAAAAACUGUAAAGGGGGAUAAGUGGGAACAGAAAACAAGGGAGUUUAAAGUCAUGGCCUGGAUUAAACAUACUUUAGGCUAAAUUUAUUCUAGCAGUUCUGGCCUCUUUGGAAUAGACACUAGAGAAAAUUGCUGGGUUUUUGGAACAGUCAUAUUUUCUGCAACUUUCACUCUCAUCCGCUUUCCUCCUGUCAUCAUCAUCUUGGUCUCAAGAAAGAGGCUGCUUGAUUUGUUUAUGGAAACCUGAUGACAGAAGUUGAAGAAACAGGAAGGUGAGGAAAUCUCUCUGCUCUUAAUCCUAGGAGCAAGACAAAUAUAAUCCAUCCUUCAAGCAACAUUUGGCUCUAAUAAUUAUCCUACAACAGGAAGGGACAUUGCCCAGACUGUAUGCAAUGUUCAUGAAGAGAGAAUCAGAAAAGUGGAGAAGUACCUCUACCUACAAUGAGAAACUUUCCCUAGACAUAUUUCUCACUUUUCUAUUAUCUUCUACAACAACUCGAAGAAAAUAUUUUUCCUUUCUGCAGUUCCUGCGAUUCAAGUUGACAGUCAUGCCUCAUCUAAACUCUGAUACAUGUCUUCUCUUGAUUUUGUUAUGCUAGAUACAGGAGGGAAAGUUUUCCACUUAUUCUGGUGGUAUUCAGAAAAAAUGAAUAGAAAUAUCUGCAUCUGGAGAGCCAAAGAGGAAAAGUAAGUUUACAUUUCUUCUUCCUGGCUAGAAAGUA